GGAGGCCCAGCUGUGAUCCCGAGGCUUUGUAGGCGCCGCAGCCCUGGCCCUCUAGAGGCCGACGGAGGAGUGCGGGGGAAGUUAGCUUGCGCCUGUCUCGUCAGCCGUGCACGAGAAAAAAAAGGACCUUCGAGAAGAACAAGGGAGGGCAAGAGUUACCGAGUACAGGGACAUCUAUGUGGCCGCUCUGCUUUCCCGCCGUCACCUGCUGUUGAACUCCGGCCGCAUCGCGGUGUCCGGAGCCGCCUGGCCUGGAGUAUGCGCUGAGCGUCACCUAGGCAACCACCCCUGCACCUGUGGAUCAGGGUCUCGCUCUGUUGCCAAGGGUAGAAUGCAGUGUCGGGAUCAUAGCUCACUACAGACUUGACAUCCUGGACUCAAGAGAUCCUCCUGUGUCAGCCUCCCGAGUAGCUGGGACCACUGGCGCGCGACAAAUAAUUUGAAAGUGGGAGGAGGGGAACAGAACCACAUCAAAUGGCAGAUAUCAUAGAAUGAGAACUGAAUAUACGCGUUUUGUGGGAAACGCGUUCUUUUCCCCUUUCUCUAAGAUUCGCUUUUAAUUCACUAGCCACUAACCAGUUACCUAUCUCAUUACAGAUAU
rnacentral:lncRNA from 1 species